rnacentral:lncRNA from 1 species
GGCCACCCUCAGACCCCUUGUGAAACUCAAGAUCAUAAAAAAGAGGACCAAGAAGUUCAUCCAGCACCAGUCAGACGUAUGUCAAAAUGAAGCAUAACAGGUGGAAACCCAGAGGUAUUGACAACAGGGUUUGUAGAAGGUGCAAGGGCCAGAUCUUAAUGCCCAACAUUGGUUAUGGGAGCAACAAAAACACAAAGCACCUGGGGCCUAGUGGCUUACAGAAGUUCCUGGUCUACAAUGUCAGGGAGAUGGAAGUGCUGCUGAAGUGCAACAGAGU